rnacentral:rRNA from 1 species
GACGAACGCUGGCGGCGUGCCUAAUACAUGCAAGUCGAACGCACAGUCUAUACCGUAGCUUGCUACACCAUAAACUGUGAGUUGCGAACGGGUGAGUAACGCGUAGGUAACCUGCCUGGUAGCGGGGGAUAACUAUUGGAAACGAUAGCUAAUGCCGCAUAAUAUUAAUUAUUGCAUGAUAAUUGAUUGAAAGAUGCAAUUGCAUCACUACCAGAUGGACCUGCGUUGUAUUAGCUAGUAGGUGAGGUAACGGCUCACCUAGGCGACGAUACAUAGCCGACCUGAGAGGGUGAUCGGCCACACUGGGACUGAGACACGGCCCAGACUCCUACGGGAGGCAGCAGUAGGGAAUCUUCGGCAAUGGGCGAAAGUCUGACCGAGCAACGCCGCGUGAGUGAAGAAGGUUUUCGGAUCGUAAAGCUCUGUUGUAAGGGAAGAACGGGUGUGAGAGUGGAAAGUUCACACUGGGACGGUAUCUUACCAGAAAGGGACGGCUAACUACGU